GUGCUGGGAUGGCUGGAGAAGGCCGCAUUUUGCAGUUGAGCUGAGGGACGUGUGAAGCAUCAUCCACCCCCUGCUGACAUUUGAGAAUUAGAGGUAUGGAUCUUCGGCAUCUGCUGUUUACUUUGGCACUGGUGUGUGCAAAUGACUCACUUUCUGCAAGUGAUG
rnacentral:sRNA from 1 species